GUCGACGUAUGCGCUCUAUGUUUCCUGUCAAAUAAUCUUUGGAAAUUUACCCAUUUUCAUUGAUUUUUUCGUGAAAAAUCAAUAUGAGUACAACUUGUGACGUCAUAAUGAAACGCAGAAACGUAAAAUUUUAAACAAAAUGGUUUAUAUCCUAUCUAGUCAAUGUAUUAGCUAUAAUUUAUCGUGAUAUUGGUCAAUAAAUCCGAAUUUGAAAUUUACGCUAAAAAAGUGGGCCAUUUUAGGACCUUAUCGAACAUACUCC
rnacentral:lncRNA from 1 species